UACGUAGGGGGCUAGCGUUGUCCGGAAUCAUUGGGCGUAAAGAGCGUGUAGGCGGCCAGAUAAGUCCGCUGUGAAAUCUCGAGGCUCAACUUCGAGCUGUCGGUGGAAACUAUCUGGCUAGAGUCCGGAAGAGGAGAAUGGAAUUCCUGGUGUAGCGGUGAAAUGCGCAGAUAUCAGGAAGAACACCCGUGGCGAAGGCGGUUCUCUGGGACGGUACUGACGCUGAGACGCGAAAGCGUGGGGAGCGAACAGG
rnacentral:rRNA from 1 species